rnacentral:rRNA from 1 species
GACGAACCGAGCGAACGUUAUUCGGAAUCACUGGGCUUAAAGGGCGCGUAGGCGGGCCAUCAAGUCAGGGGUGAAAGCCCCACGCUCACUGGGAAGGUGCUUUGAUACUGGUGGUCUCGAGGGGGAUAGGGGCGUGCGGAACUUCCGGUGGAGCGGUGAAAUGCGUAGAUAUCGUAAGGAAGACCAGUGGCGAAGGCGGGUCUCUGGACAGUUCCUGACGCUGAGGCACGAAGGCCAGGGAGCAACGGG